CGACAUUCCCUUUUAUCUUCUACUAAAACAAGAAAAUUCAAAAAAGAAGAGGUCAGUUAGUAUCCUCGAACUUUGUCCCCAGCCAGUCAGCAUUAGGGUUUUAAACCCUAAACUGAACUUUUUCCAUUCAGUCAACAUUAGGGUUUUAAACCCUAAACUGAACUUUUUCUUUAGUUAGCAUUAGGGUUUUAAACCUUAAACUGAACUCUUUCCUUUAGUCAGCAUUAGGGUUUUAAACCCUAAACUGAACUUUUCCAUUCAGUCAGCAUUAGGGUUUUGAGCCCUAAACUGAACUUUUUCCUUUCAGUCAACAUUAGGGUUUUAAACCCUAAACUGAACUCUUUCCUUUAGUCAGCAUUAGGGUUUUAAACCCUAAACUGAACUUUUUCCUUUCAGUCAGCAUUAGGGUUUUAAAACCCUAAACUGAACUCUUUCCUUUCAGUCAGCAUUAGGGUUUUAAACCCUAAAUUGAACUCUUUCCUUUAGUCAGCAUUAGGGUUUUAAACCCUAAACUGAACUCUUUCCUUUAA
rnacentral:lncRNA from 1 species